UUGAUCUCAAGGACAACAUUGUUGUAACUACUGUCACCCAUUCAAAAAUUUCUUUAGAGGAACUACAGGUAUUUUGCUGACCUGAGCAUUGAAAUAAUGAGUACAAAAGGUUCAGGGCAUAUGCGAAUGAUUGAAGUUUUAUAUUUGCGGACAAGGGAGAAACGCUUAAAAUUAGAAAGGCAGAGUAGAAUUUUAUACUCUGUUGUUGCAGUGUGGCUUUUGGGAAUCCUUAGCACGAUUAUCCCAGAGGUGAAGCUUAGACACCGCCGUGGAUUUGUCUGGCUAUGAAUCAUGGUCAUGAAAUACGUUCAUGUUGUUCCCUUUCCAGAUGCUUUAGAACAGACAAGCGAUGAUGCUGGAAUAAGAGGUUCUCGAUUCCCUUUUAUGUCAUAGUUCAUACUACAACACACAUAUACUGCAGCCUCUUAAAUUAUAAAAUUAUUGUCUCUUAGAUUAUAAAAUUUCAUGAUAUCAAAUUGUACGUACUGCAAAAUUUCUCCUUUUUACUGCCUGCUUGAUUGUAUAGAUAGAAUAACUAGAUAAUGAUGCUCCAUGCAUUACUAGAGCUGUUGAUAGCUUGUCCACCUAGAUUAUUUUACACUCCCUUCUUAGGAGAAUUUAGCUUAGAUAUUUAGGUGCAACGCAUGUACUGCGAAGCGAGAUAUUUAGUUUGUUUUUCUUGGGUAAACCAUACUCUCGACAUUCCAAAACCUCUACUACUAAAGGUACAAUUUGGUUAUAAAAAAACUAUGCAUGCGCUAAUAUUUUAUACAUUUAGGUUAUGCCAUGGUAGUACCAUAUGCACCAGAGUAAUUUAAAUUACAGUUUUUCUAUGAGCUGUACUAUUUUGCAAUAAUAGUACAGAAAUAGAUUGCAGGCAUCCAUGGCCGGAUUUGUGAUUUCUUAUUCAAAUAAGUUUUUUUUCUAAAACCAAUCUAUUAUUCAAGGAGUCUGAAUUCAUAUUAUAUUGUAUUACUAAAUAAUGCCUAACUGUAAAAUACCAGUAGCAGUUUUUCAAAAAAACAUGGGUUACUAAGAUAUUAUCAAUGUGUUUAUUCAAGCCAAAUACUGCAUGUCCAUGGUCCAUAGAGACUGCAUGUCCAUGGUCGCAGGGAUGAGGGUAGCCGGUCUGCUCUUCGAGCAUGCACUUAAGAUGGAGCUUAAAUCUCUGCACAUGUGGUGCCUUUUUCGGUAUGCUGGAAGAUUGGAUGAAAGCAGUACUGAUCCUUUAGGUAUUUCCAAAUUAUAGACGAUGGCACGUUGGGGCUCCAUACGCAUACAACAUUGCCGACUAUGGCCUGGAUGUGAGUUGUUUUCCGGACCAUCGAAGAUUGGACUGGAACUCUACAAUACAGUUUGCUUUUGAUAAUUAUUGCUGGUGGAUUCUAAGUUCUAACUCGAGACUAAAUUCACGUAUUCCCCACUUGGAAGAUGGAAAGAUGGGAUGCUCCAUGGAGUCCGCCGGCUUCCACCGUCUGUUAAUCACAAUCCUGCUACCAACAACUCUUUCCUGUUUUAGUAGCUCUGUCCUUUUGAAGACCCCAGCAAAGACAAAGAGGAAAACUCAUGGUGAAACCUCAUCUUUCAUUGAUAUACUAAUUACGGACUCCCCAUAAAUUUCAAAUGUUAAUCAAAGUAAAUAAGACCACCCGUCCAUCGUGCAGGAUCCAAGUUCUAAGGAAUGGUAAGCCUGGAGGAUGUUGUUGAGGCAUGACUUGGUCAGAGAGUCUGCCGGAGCUAAGAAGCAGAGGUACUUCUUACCAAGCUAAACCUGUGAAGGAUGUCACCUCCACCGUCUGGCACCACGCCGUCGUCUCCACCCAGGAGUCCAGGCAGUUUCACUUGCAAGCACACGCUGCUGAGCCCUGUGACGUCGCUGGACCUUCCGGGCUCCCCUGCCCAGCCGGCAAAAAAGAUCAGGCGCCCUGGCGUUGCACCCGCUGGAAUAUGGAAGAUGA